rnacentral:rRNA from 1 species
UAAACGGACCAUCGAGUAUCCAUUGGAGGGCAAGUCUGGUGCCAGCAGCUGCGGUAAUACCAGCUCCAAUAGCGUAUAUUAAAGUUGUUGCAGUUAAAAAGCUCGUAGUUGGACUUGUGUGCGCUGUCCGCGGGUGGCCUGCGCCCAAAAGGGCGUUUCGGUUCGGCCCCGGUGGCGCCUUGAAAUCUGCAGCUGGGGGGACGUUGGCCUUAACUGGUCGGCGACCGCACGCCGGCUGCUCGGUUACUGUGAGAAAAUUAGAGUGUUCAAGGCAGGCAUUGGGUGCAAUUGAAUACAUUAGCAUGGAAUAAUAAAAUAUGGCUCCUGCCGUAUUUUGUUGGUUUUGACUGGUGGGAGUAAUGAUUGAUAGGGACGGUUGGGGGUGCUAGUAUUGAGCGGCCAGAGGUGAAAUUCAUGGAUUCGCUCAAGACUAACUUAUGCGAAAGCAUUCACCAAGGACGUCCUCUUUAAUCAAGAACGAAAGUUGGGGGAUCGAAGACGAUCAGAUACCGUCGUAGUCUCAACCAUAAACUAUGUCGACUUGGGAUCGGCGGUAGUUUUUUCAUUAAGACACUGUCGGGACCACGGGAGAAAUCAAAGUGUCUGGACUCUGGGGGAAGUAUGGUCGCAAGGCUGAAACUUGAAGGAAUUGACGGAAGGGCACCACCAGGAGUGGAGCCUGCGGCUUAAUUUGACCCAACACGGGGAAACUUACCAGGUCCAGAGAUGUAGAGGAUUGACAGAUUGAAGCUCUUUCUUGAUCACUUCGGUGGUGGUGCAUGGCCGUUCUUAGUUGGUGGAGUGAUUUGUCUGGUUAAUUCCGUUAACGAACGAGACCUCAGCCUGCUAGUGUAGUCGGCUGGAUUGCCUUUGGCGAUCCGUGAUUUCGACUUCUUAGAGGGACAAUCGACGCGCAGUCGAUGGAAGUUUGAGGCAAUAACAGGUCUGUGAUGCCCUUAGAUGUUCUGGGCCGCACGCGCGCUACACUGCUGGGCUCAGCGAGUUUUACUUGGCCGAGAGGCCCGGCUAAUCUUGUGAAAUCCCAGCGUGCUUGGGCUCGCCUCCUGCAACUGGAGGCGCCAACGAGGAAUUCCUAGUAGACGCAGGUCAUCAACCUGCAUCGAUUACGUCCCUGCCCUUUGUACACACCGCCCGUCGUUCCAUAAGAGUGAGGCAUCCGGUGAAUUCUCGGGAGAGCCUGGGCGUGGCCAGCAAUGGUCUGCUCGGGUUUGAACUUGCAUAAACUUGGUGCCUAUGAUUAGGGAAAAGUCGUAACAAGGUUUCCGUAGGUGGACCUGCGGAAG